GAGGAAAAAGAAAAAUAAACAAUGAUUUCCCUAGUAACGGCGAGUGAAAGAGGAAAGAGCUCAAAGUUGGAACCUGUUUGGCCUAGCUAAACAGGAUUGUAAACUGUAGAAGUGUUUUCCAGGCAAUCCGAGUUAAUAAGUCCUUUGGAACAGGGCAUCAUAGAGGGUGAGAAUCCCGUCUUUGAUUCGAGAUAUUUUGUCUUUUGCGAUACACUUUCAAAGAGUCAGGUUGUUUGGGAAUGCAGCCUAAAUUGGGUGGUAAAUYUCACCUAAAGCUAAAUAUUGGCGAGAAACCGAUAGCGAACAAGUACCGUGAGGGAAAGAUGAAAAGAACUUUGAAAAGAGAGUUAAACAGUAUGUGAAAUUGUUAAAAGGGAACCGUUUGGAGCCAGACUGGCUUGUCUGUAAUCAAUCUAGGUUUCGUGCCUGGAUGCACUUGCAGACUAUUUGCCUGCCAACGACAAUUUUUUUUGAGUGUAAAAACUAUUGGAAAUGUGGCCAAUAUUUAUUUAUUGGUGUUAUAGUCCUUUAGAAAAUACCUUGAAUUGGAUUGAGGAACGCAGCGAAUGCUUCUCUUUUGAGGCAAAGUCUUUUAUUGGGAUUUACGGAUCAGACUGUGGCAUUGUCACAAGACUUGAAGUUUAAACCUAU
rnacentral:rRNA from 1 species